GCCAUUACAACCCUGAGUUCUCCUGUGACUACAAGUCAUGGGGCCACAAGAAAAAGAAAAAAAGUCAUUCUACUGGAAAACUGAAAAAAUAUAUUUGAUUUGGCUCUUCAAUUAUGCAUAAAAACUCACUGGGUAAAGAUGGAAUGAAAGACUAUUCAGAAGAAGGGACAUUUUGCAAAGCCAGAGGUAUGAAUACACAUGACUUAUUUGGGAAAGGUGGGCAGAUUGGGGUGAAUAGACUUUAGAAGAUACUGUUAUAUAGACAAAUGGACACAAAGCUUUAAAGACAUUUUGGGGCCAGAUUGUAAAGAACCUUGUAAACAUUGUUGAUUACCUUAGAUUUUAGCCCACAGUCAGAACAGCACAUGAAACACUUUCACAAAAGUUAAAGAGCAUGACGAGGAUUUUAUUUUUUAAAUGUAAUUAUGAAAAGAGAAUCAAGGCUGAAUUGGAACAGAGAGCAGGAGAAGACUAGAGACGACAGAAGGAGACUUCUUCAACUAGAGAAAAAAAAGUCUUGAACAAGUGGUAAACUAAUUAUUUCCUAUCAGUCAAUUAAAGUACCUUUCACACUUAGAAAUUUAUCAUGGCGUUUUAUUUCCCAUUGCAGAAAGACUGAAAUCUUCCUGGCAUUAAUGACACCUAUGAUUUAAAUUCACUUUUCUCAUAUAAUUAUUUCUUACUCUACUGGUUUGUCUAAGCGUGUUCUUAAAACUUGUAGUAAAGUGAUUUUAAAAGUAUCUCAAGCCCUGACAUUCUGUUUGUGCAAUCUCAGGUAAGUACUUAACCCCUCUGUGGAACAAUUUUCUUACUUGUUUUAUUAAGGCAUGGUCUAUGUCUACUUUGUCCAUUUUUGUAUUUUAGCCCAGAGUACAGGACAUAAAAAGUGUUCAAUAAACAUUCACUGAUUAAAUAGAGUGAUAAUAAUAUCUACCUCAUAUACAGGCUGAGCAUUACUAAUCCAAAAACCUGAAAUUCAAAAUUCUUCAAAACCCAGGAUAUUGUGAGUGUAGACAAGAUGCUACAAGUGGGACAUUCUAUGUCUGACUUCAUGUG
rnacentral:lncRNA from 1 species